UGAGACCCAAUAGGGGAGGACGAGUGUGUCACGUGAAGAUCUGGGGAACAGCGUUCCGGGCAGAGGGAACUGCCUUCGCGAAAGCCUUGAGGUGGGAAAGAGCUUGGCUCGUUCACAGAAGAGAAUGGAGAGCAGCGGGGCUGGAUCAGAGCGAACGCAUCAGAAGGGAACAGGGGACGAGAUCAGAGCUGUAGGAGGAACCAUAAGGACGCAGUGCCUGGUCAGCCCUCAGGGCUGAAGACUUGUCAUGAGGGUCAAAUGAGCUCCCAUGUGCCUCACAGGCAUGACCCACUUUAUCAGCCCAGGAAACAGUCACAUCGCUUACUUUUCCAAUUAAUUGCAUGCCUUCCCACUAUGCUCACAGGAGCAAGAAGUCUCUAUCACCUUCUAGGUUUCCCUUCCCAUGGUCCAAAUAUCCUGAAGAUUUAGUUAAUCUGAAGGUCGCUUCCACACUCCAGGCAGAGAGAAACCUCAGAAGUUCGAAUCACUCACUGGUCGCCCCAUUUUCAUCUCCCCCAUCCCCAAGGCUGCCACAAGGUGUCGCUGUUGAAAGCCAGUUGGGGUGCCUCUGCCUGCCGCUGUGACCACGCCCAGAGUCCAGUCCCUAUAAAGGACACACUGAUCCUCCUCCACUCUUCAGCUCCCAGGUGCCAGCUCUUUGAACUUACAGGCAAACACUCCAACCUGUCAUCGCAUUCCCCUCCAGGGUCCUAUCCCGCAGACCUGAGUGAGAAGCAUCUCAAUCUAUUCUUAGGCUCUUGUCAAGCUGGGUCGACAGCUGGACCACACCCUCUCCUUUGGGGUAAUUCUGUUUCCGGUUUUGUUUCCCUUCUCCACCAUUAGGAAUCAGCUUGGAAUAUUCCCAUCCACCCAAACAGAUCUCCAGGUCUUAAAAAGAAGGACUGAGAGGGGAAUGAGCAGUAACUGAUUUUAAUGACUGCGUCUGUGAGGCUCUUACUCCAUGCCUAGCCGUAUGUGGAGCAGCAUAAAUACAUAGUUAUAUCUAUCUAGCCAUCUAUCUGUCCGCCUCUCUGUCUAUUCUUUUAAUCAUUGCCACAUCAUCCCAUUUUCCAGAUGAGGACACUGAGACACAGGGACAUUAAAAUUCUUGCCUAAGAUUGCACGCAAAGAAGUAACAGAAGCAUGAUUCGAGACUACGCCGUCUGACAAGAGAGCCCGAGCUUUUAAGCACCAUGCUAUCCAGCCCCCCGAUCUGCUUCCUACUGGAGAAUUAUCUGAGUUCUUGAUGCAAAUUGAUGCCCCUUCCCCCCCAGGAGUCUUUUCGGGCACCAGAGACCUUAAAGUGGCAGCUUGUUCAGAAUAAGACGCGACAACCAAACGCCAUGCAGGAUCCCGGACCGGAACCUUUACAGAAGACACUAUUGGGAUAGUCAGAGAAAGUUGAACGGGGUCUACAGAUGAGAUGAUGGACCAGUGGCUAGCUAAGGGAGGUGGUUCUCGUGCAGAAGGCAGAAGCACAAGAGGGCAAGCCACAUCACACAAGCACCUCUCAGGCACCUGCUCGGGUGAGGUCCUCUCAUAGACCAUUGGCCAAAGAAAGUCACGUGGCCUCACCGAACAUCAAUGAGACUCAUUGCCACAGAAAGAUGAGAGCAGCUAAGUGCA
rnacentral:lncRNA from 1 species